AAUUUUUUUUCCCUGUCUAUAAUCUAAUGUGGAGUGGAAUUAUUCCUGCCGUUUGGGCAAACAAUAUGAAUCUCUCAUUUCUGCUGCUGUGUCUGUUCUCGCAGAUCGUCGAUGGUGUUUAUAAAAAAGUGAAGGAGGGAGAAUCUAUCAUUCUACCCACCGACGUUACUACAAUAAAGACAAAAUAUCACAUAAUGUGGACGUUUGAAUCGAUACACAUUGCGGACAUUUAUUCUAUGAAUGAUUUAGGCCUACCUAAUUAUGUGAAUGCUGAAAUGUUCGGAGGCAGACUACAGGUGGACUUCACAACUGGAUCUCUGACCAUCAGAAACGCAAUGAGCGCAGACUCAGGACUUUAUUGUCUAAAUAUUGUCUAUCCCGGCAGAAGAACAACGUCAAAGACAUUUAAUGUCACUGUCAGUCCCUCACUCAACCCUUUAGUAAGAGAGUCCAGAAAUUGCUCUCCAUCAUCAGAAAGAUCAUCAGUGACAUACUUUUUAAUUUUCUGUUUUUUAUUUUAAUUUUUUUCCAAUUGAGGACAUGCAACAACAUGCAGAAUGAUGCAAGAGGAUCAUAAUAACAUAACUGAACAUAACUUACAGAAACGCCAAACUUGUCUUGUCUGAACUUGUGUGUAUUCUCUUCGUUGUGAUUAAAUAUUUGGUAACCAGUAUUUCCCUUCUGUCUAGUGAAUACAGAGCAAUCAUUUCCC